CUACCAGUGUUUCAUCAUUAGUUACUUGUGUUGGGGUUAUUCCUCUGGUUUCCCUUGUGACAUUUGGAUUACUUUGUCACUUCCUGGUUUCUGGAUUUCACCUGUUUUUGUAUGGAUUACCUUGUUUGUUCUGGACAGCCAACUUUGCCUUAACUUCCCAAGAUAAAGAUUUGAGCAGAGGAUGAAAAGAUGAAAAAUCUUGUGGAUGAGAGUGACAGCUUCCAGAAAUAACAUCUGAGGAGCAAACAUACAGAAAAUCAGCACAAGAAAUUUGGAUAAAGAAGUAGCAGGCCUUGAGACAAUCCACCCAGCCCAAUCAAACCAGACCAGGCACCAUGACUGUUGCUGUGAUCACCCCAGAGGAAAGAAAAGAGAGCCGGGACAGGAGCCUGGCCCAGCUUGGACUUAAGGCUGCUCCUGGCUAAUGCCUGGUCUGGACGAAAUGGGACUUAGGUUGGCCAAGCAAUGGUAACUCAGAGACUGUUUGACUGUGCCCACAUCUUUACAGAGACCUGCUCCAUCAACAUCCCCGAUCAAGCACUCGUUGGGCUGACCAUGUUCUGAGCCAACAGAGCACAAGAAUCAGACAUGAUAAGAGUAUGUGUUUACAUCAAUGAUGGUGCUCGAACGGAGUCAAAGUGGAUGGACACUGUUUCCCAAAUGUUUGUGUCUAUGUGAAGAUGAAAACCAUAUUAUCAUCACUAUCUUACUGUUGUUUAUAUUUACCAGGUUACCACUUUACCAGUUCAAAAAAAAAAAUGUACUGCACAAUUAUUUCCUGGGUGUAUGUAUGUAUGUAUGUAUGUAUGUAUGUAUGUAUGUAUGUAUGUAUAUUUUUGUAUAUAGAUAACUGUAUAUUGAUUU